rnacentral:rRNA from 1 species
AUGAAACUAAAAUUCUGCGUUCAGAAGUUAAUCUCCUUGAAUGGCGAGCUUUUAUUCUACAUUUAUCUGGUCAUUCUUGUUGCACUUGUCAUUAACUCUGAAAAGGAAUUCAUGCAAUACAAUUCGUUGCACCUUGUAGUCAUUGCUGCCAAAUCUGUAUUAUAUUAUAAAGCAGUUGGAAAGGAACAUUGGAAAUGGAUCAAUAUGUUGUUCUAUAUUUCAAUGAUGAGAUUCAUCAGUACUAUUUUCACUCAUCGUUAUUUCAUGUGUUUUCUGAUAUUGUGCGUUGACUAUUUGAUGGUAUUUAUGUUGCAGUAUUGUCAUGUUACUUGUUUGAUUGUGCUUCAAUUGUAUACUUCUCAGAAGUUAUUAUUGGUUCCUUGUCCUCUCAAUUACACUUUGCCAUGCUGA